AGUGAACGCUGGCGGUAGGCCUAACACAUGCAAGUCGAACGGCAGCACAGUAAGAGCUUGCUCUUACGGGUGGCGAGUGGCGGACGGGUGAGGAAUACAUCGGAAUCUACUUUUUCGUGGGGGAUAACGUAGGGAAACUUACGCUAAUACCGCAUACGACCUACGGGUGAAAGCAGGGGAUCUUCGGACCUUGCGCGAUUGAAUUAGCCGAUGUCGGAUUAGCUAGUUGGCGGGGUAAAGGCCCACCAAGGCGACGAUCCGUAGCUGGUCUGAGAGGAUGAUCAGCCACACUGGAACUGAGACACGGUCCAGACUCCUACGGGAGGCAGCAGUGGGGAAUAUUGGACAAAGGGCGCAAGCCUGAUCCAGCCAUACCGCGUGGGUGAAGAAGGCCUUCGGGUUGUAAAGCCCUUUUGUUGUGAAAGAAAAGCAGCAGGUUAAUACCCCGCUGUUCUGACGGUACCCAAAGAAUAAGCACCGGCUAACUUCGUG
rnacentral:rRNA from 1 species